rnacentral:rRNA from 1 species
AGGGUUUGAUCAUGGCUCAGGAUGAACGCUGGCGGCGUGCUUAACACAUGCAAGUCGAACGAACCUUCGGGUUAGUGGCGGACGGGUGAGUAACGCGUGAGAAUCUGCCCUCAGGAGGGGGAUAACGGUUGGAAACGACCGCUAAUACCCCAUAUGCCUACUGGUGAAACGAAUUUCGCCUGAGGAUGAGCUCGCGUCUGAUUAGCUAGUUGGUGAGGUAAUGGCUCACCAAGGCUUCGAUCAGUAGCUGGUCUGAGAGGAUGAUCAGCCACACUGGGACUGAGACACGGCCCAGACUCCUACGGGAGGCAGCAGUGGGGAAUUUUCCGCAAUGGGCGAAAGCCUGACGGAGCAACGCCGCGUGAGGGACGAAGGCCUCUGGGCUGUAAACCUCUUUUCUCAAGGAAGAAGAUAUGACGGUACUUGAGGAAUAAGCCACGGCUAAUUCCGUGCCAGCAGCCGCGGUAAUACGGGAGUGGCAAGCGUUAUCCGGAAUUAUUGGGCGUAAAGCGUCCGCAGGCGGCUUUUCAAGUCUGCUGUUAAAGCGUGGAGCUUAACUCCAUCAUGGCAGUGGAAACUGAAAGGCUUGAGUAUGGUAGGGGCAGAGGGAAUUCCCGGUGUAGCGGUGAAAUGCGUAGAUAUCGGGAAGAACACCAGUGGCGAAGGCGCUCUGCUGGGCCAUUACUGACGCUCAUGGACGAAAGCCAGGGGAGCGAAAGGGAUUAGAUACCCCUGUAGUCCUGGCCGUAAACGAUGAACACUAGGUGUCGGGGGAAUCGACCCCUUCGGUGUCGUAGCUAACGCGUUAAGUGUUCCGCCUGGGGAGUACGCACGCAAGUGUGAAACUCAAAGGAAUUGACGGGGGCCCGCACAAGCGGUGGAGUAUGUGGUUUAAUUCGAUGCAACGCGAAGAACCUUACCAGGGUUUGACAUCCUGCGAACCUCUUAGAAAUUUGAGGGUGCCUUCGGGAAUGCAGUGACAGGUGGUGCAUGGCUGUCGUCAGCUCGUGUCGUGAGAUGUUGGGUUAAGUCCCGCAACGAGCGCAACCCACGUUUUUAGUUGCCAGCAUUUAGUUGGGCACUCUAGAAAGACCGCCGGUGAUAAACCGGAGGAAGGUGUGGAUGACGUCAAGUCAUCAUGCCCCUUACACCCUGGGCUACACACGUACUACAAUGCUACGGACAAAGGGCAGCAAACUCGCGAGAGCUAGCAAAUCCCAUAAACCGUGGCUCAGUUCAGAUCGUAGGCUGCAACUCGCCUACGUGAAGUAGGAAUCGCUAGUAAUCGCAGGUCAGCAUACUGCGGUGAAUACGUUCCCGGGCCUUGUACACACCGCCCGUCACACCAUGGAAGUUGGCCAUGCCCGAAGUCGUUACUCCAACCCUUGUGGAGGAGGACGCCGAAGGUGGGGCUAAUGACUGGGGUGAAGUCGUAACAAGGUAGCCGUA